GUCUACGGCCAUACCACCCUGAACACGCCCCAUCUCGUCUGAUCUCGGAAGCUAAGCAGGGUCGGACCUGUUUAGUACUUGGAUGGGAGACAAUAAUCAUGAGUAGACU
rnacentral:rRNA from 1 species